GGGGGGGGGGGGGGGGGGGCGAGGGGGGGGGGGGGGGGCGGGGGGACGCGGAGCGGGCUGCUCUGGUGUUGGCGGCGGACGGGGGAGUACGACGUGGGUAACCUACCUAUAAUCCGGGGAUAACUUCGGGAAACCGGAGCUAAUACCGGCUAAUAUUUUGACCCGCAUGUUUCAAAAGUGAACGACGGUCUUGCUGUCACUUAUAUAUGGAUCCGCACUGCAUUAGCUAGUUGGUAAGGUAACUGCUUACCAAGGCAACGAUGCAUAGCCGACCUGAGAGGGUGAUCGGCCACACUGGAACUGAGACACGGUCCAGACUCCUACGGGAGGCAGCAGUAGGGAAUCUUCCGCAAUGGGCGAAAGCCUGACGGAGCAACGCCGCGUGAGUGAUGAAGGUCUUCGGAUCGGAAAACUCUGUUAUUAGGGAAGAACAUAUGUGUAAGUAACUGUGCACAUCUUGACGGUACCUAAUCAGAAAGCCACGGCUAACUACGUG
rnacentral:rRNA from 1 species